AUGGCGAUGGAGCCGGCGGUCAAGGUGGCGCUGGGGACGGCGGCGUUCGGCAUCUUCUGGGUGCUGGCCGUGUUCCCGGCGGUGCCCUUCCUGCCCAUCGGCCGCACGGCGGGGUCGCUGCUGGGGGCCAUGCUCAUGGUGCUCCUCAACGUCAUCACCGCCGACGAGGCCUACGCCGCCGUCGACCUGCCCAUCCUCGGCCUCCUCUUCGGCACCAUGGUCGUCAGCGUCUACCUCGAGCGCGCCGACAUGUUCCGCCACCUGGGACGCGCGCUCUCCUGGCGGAGCCAGGGCGGCAAGGACCUGCUCCUCCGCACCUGCGCCGUCUCCGCGCUCGCGUCGGCGCUCUUCACCAACGACACCUGCUGCGUCGUGCUCACCGAGUUCAUCCUCAAGAUCGCCCGCCAGAACAACCUCCCGCCCAAGCCCUUCCUCCUCGCGCUCGCCUCCUCGGCGAAUAUCGGCUCCGCGGCCACCCCCAUCGGCAACCCGCAGAACCUCGUCAUCGCCGUGCAGAGCGGCAUCUCCUUCGGUGACUUCGUCUUCGGCAUCCUGCCCGCCACCCUCGUCGGCGUCGUCGUCAACGCCGCCAUCCUGCUCUGUCUCUACUGGCGGGAGCUGUCCGACGAGAAGUGCGUCGACGUGUCCCACGACGCGCUCCCCGCCGAGGUCGUCGAUGAGGACGACGUCACCUCCCACCGCUUCUCGCCGGCCACCAUGUCGCACCCGCGGCGCGGCCGCCUCCCCGACGGCUCUGUUCUUCCCGAAGCAGCCGGCUGCGACGCGCACUGCUCAUGUGAGCCGGUCAAGCCCAACGGCGACGUCGCCAAGGCGGCGCCCGACGGCGUCGGGAUCCACCAGAGGCGUGGCUCCGCCGCAAGAGUGACGACCAAGGAGGAGGAUGAGUACUCCUGCUUCAACUCGACGGAGGAGAAGGAGGCGGCCAUGGACGAGGAGUGGAAGAACAGGCUGUGGAAGACCUGCGUGUACGUCAUCACCUUCGGCAUGCUCGUGGCGCUGCUGCUUGGGCUCAACAUGUCCUGGAGCGCCAUUACCGCCGCCCUGGCGCUCAUCGUCCUCGACUUCAAGGACGCCCGCCCCUGCCUCGAGAAGGUCUCCUACCCACUGCUGCUCUUCUUCUGUGGGAUGUUCAUCACCGUGGAUGGCUUCAACAAGACCGGCAUUCCGAGCACCUUCUGGGAGUUCAUGGAGCCCUAUGCGCGGAUCGACACGCCAACCGGGGUGGUCAUCCUCGCCCUGGUGAUCCUUCUCCUCUCCAAUGUCGCGUCGAACGUCCCGACCGACUCUGCACUGUGUUUGUGCUUCAUUGCAGUCCUGCUGCUCGGCGCACGGGUGGCGGCCUCAGCGGCGGCGAUCUCCCCCGCGGCGGAGACCAACGCGUGGCUGAUCCUGGCGUGGGUGAGCACGGUGGCCGGCAACCUGUCCCUUCUAGGGUCGGCGGCGAACCUCAUCGUGUGCGAGCAGGCGCGUCGGUCCCAGCAGUUCGGGUAUACCCUCUCCUUCUUCAGCCACCUCCAGUUCGGCUUCCCGGCGACGCUCAUCGUCACCGGCAUCGGCCUGCUGCUCAUCAAGAGCAACUGA
rnacentral:rRNA from 1 species